GAUGAACGCUGGCGGCGUGCCUAAUACAUGCAAGUCGAGCGAAUGGAUUAAGAGCUUGCUCUUAUGAAGUUAGCGGCGGACGGGUGAGUAACACGUGGGUAACCUGCCCAUAAGACUGGGAUAACUCCGGGAAACCGGGGCUAAUACCGGAUAACAUUUUGAACCGCAUGGUUCGAAAUUGAAAGGCGGCUUCGGCUGUCACUUAUGGAUGGACCCGCGUCGCAUUAGCUAGUUGGUGAGGUAACGGCUCACCAAGGCAACGAUGCGUAGCCGGCCUGAGAGGGUGCUCGGCCACACUGGGACUGAGACACGGCCCAGACUACUACGGGAGGCAGCAGUAGGGAAUCUUCCGCAAUGGACGAAAGUCUGACGGAGCAACGCCGCGUGAGUGAUGAAGGCUUUCGGGUCGUAAAACUCUGUUGUUAGGGAAGAACAGGUGCUAGUUGAAUAAGCUGGCACCUUGACGGUACCUAACCAGAAAGCCACGGCUAACUACGUGCCAGCCGCCGCCGUAA
rnacentral:rRNA from 1 species